GCGUGGAAUGGUCUGUCUGGUUAAUUCCGAUAACGCACGAGACCCCAGCCGAUAGUUUACGGGUUUGUCGUUCCUCCGGGAACGCCAAACGAGUCACCGUGCUUGCUUUCGCAAGUGCGAUGGCUCUACCGAACACAACCUAUCGGGAUCGCACGCGUACACUAGCGUGAUGAAAGGUGGGCUAUAACA
rnacentral:rRNA from 1 species